AUUGAACGCUGGCGGCAGGCCUAACACAUGCAGGUCGAACGAAGGCUUCGGCCUUAGUGGCGCGCGGGUGCGUAACGCGUGGGAAUCUACCCUUAGGUUCGGAAUAACUCAGAGAAAUUUGAGCUAAUACCGGAUAAUGUCUUCGGACCAAAGAUUUAUUGCCUUUGGAUGAGCCCGCGUAGGAUUAGCUAGUUGGUAAG
rnacentral:rRNA from 1 species